rnacentral:tRNA from 1 species
GCAAUGAAAGCAGAAGAAUAUGCGCCGGCCUUGUAAGUCGGAGGGUGGAGGUACACUCCUCAUUGCA